CACGUAACCGCCCAUUAGCCACAUGCGCGCCUGCGUGACACAUUGGCAUCAAUCAAAGUUUCACCCGUUUACUCUCAGUGCGUGUGUGUGUGUGUGUGAGUGUGUGUGUACAUGCCUGCUGCUGCACAUACAUAGUAAUCACAUUUAGUAAAGUGUGUCCAUUCGAAGGCUUGCGGCUGGGCAUUCUCUUAAAAGCAAGCAGGACAUCGUACUUACUCACACACACACACACACACAUACAUGCACAACAGCAUAAACAUAUUUAUGUGUACAUGUGGGGUCAACUCGUAUGUAAAUGCUGCUUAUAGACAGCAUUAACAAGUUCACUUCAUGCGCACGUCUGUCUGUCUGUCUGUCUCGCUGUCUCGCUGUCCCGU